rnacentral:rRNA from 1 species
UGGAUCAGUGGCGAACGGGUGAGUAACACGUGAGCAACCUGCCCUGGACUCUGGGAUAAGCGCUGGAAACGGCGUCUAAUACUGGAUAUGAGCCUCUAUCGCAUGGUGGGGGUUGGAAAGAUUUUUUGGUCUGGGAUGGGCUCGCGGCCUAUCAGCUUGUUGGUGAGGUAAUGGCUCACCAAGGCGUCGACGGGUAGCCGGCCUGAGAGGGUGACCGGCCACACUGGGACUGAGACACGGCCCAGACUCCUACGGGAGGCAGCAGUGGGGAAUAUUGCACAAUGGGCGGAAGCCUGAUGCAGCAACGCCGCGUGAGGGAUGACGGCCUUCGGGUUGUAAACCUCUUUUAGCAGGGAAGAAGCGAGAGUGACGGUACCUGCAGAAAAAGCGCCGGCUAACUACGUGCCAGCAGCCGCGGUAAUACGUAGGGCGCAAGCGUUAUCCGGAAUUAUUGGGCGUAAAGAGCUCGUAGGCGGUUUGUCGCGUCUGCUGUGAAAUCCCGAGGCUCAACCUCGGGCCUGCAGUGGGUACGGGCAGACUAGAGUGCGGUAGGGGAGAUUGGAAUUCCUGGUGUAGCGGUGGAAUGCGCAGAUAUCAGGAGGAACACCGAUGGCGAAGGCAGAUCUCUGGGCCGUAACUGACGCUGAGGAGCGAAAGGGUGGGGAGCAAACAGGCUUAGAUACCCUGGUAGUCCACCCCGUAAACGUUGGGAACUAGUUGUGGGGACCAUUCCACGGUUUCCGUGACGCAGCUAACGCAUUAAGUUCCCCGCCUGGGGAGUACGGCCGCAAGGCUAAAACUCAAAGGAAUUGACGGGGACCCGCACAAGCGGCGGAGCAUGCGGAUUAAUUCGAUGCAACGCGAAGAACCUUACCAAGGCUUGACAUACACCAGAACACCGUAGAAAUACGGGACUCUUUGGACACU